rnacentral:rRNA from 1 species
UACGUAGGUGGCGAGCGUUAUCCGGAUUUACUGGGUGUAAAGGGCGUGUAGGCGGUACAAUAAGUCAGAUGUGAAAUCUCCCGGCUCAACUGGGAGGCUGCAUCUGAAACUGUUGAACUUGAGUACUGGAGGGGAAAGCGGAAUUCCUAGUGUAGCGGUGAAAUGCGUAGAGAUUAGGAAGAACACCAGUGGCGAAGGCGAUUCUCUGGACUGUAACUGACGCUGAGGCUCGAAAGCGUGGGGAGCAAACAGGAUUAGAUACCCCCGUA